rnacentral:tRNA from 1 species
GGGUGGUGGAGGUGGCGAAAGUCACCCUUGCAUGAAAAGCCUGUGAAUCGCGAUUGUUUCUCUCUUCUUGGACGCGGGUUCGACUCCCGCCACGUCCACCA